AGCAGUAGCCGCGGUAAUACAGAGGGUGCGAGCGUUAAUCGGAUUUACUGGGCGUAAAGCGUGCGUAGGCGGCUAAUUGAGUCGGAUGUGAAAUCCCCGAGCUUAACUUGGGAAUUGCAUUCGAUACUGGUUAGCUAGAGUGUGGGAGAGGAUGGUAGAAUUCCAGGUGUAGCGGUGAAAUGCGUAGAGAUCUGGAGGAAUACCGAUGGCGAAGGCAGCCAUCUGGCCUAAUACUGACGCUGAGGUACGAAAGCAUGGGGAGCAAACAGGAUUAGAUACCCGAGUAGUCCCUGUCUCUUAUAC
rnacentral:rRNA from 1 species